rnacentral:lncRNA from 1 species
CCAACUCCACCACCUUCUCCGGCGACGUGUGGGCGGAGCUCCGCUUGGCCGACGCCCGCGAUGUGCCGCACAUCUACAGCCUCAUCCACCAGAUGGCCGAGUUCGAGCUCCUCACCGACCUCUUCGCUGCCACCGAGGAGCUCCUCACCUCCACGCUCUUCCCCUCGCCGGCGCCGCCUCCCUUCACCUCCUUCACGGCUCUCGUCCUCGACCUCUCCCCGUCCCCCGUGGUCCCGGACUCGUCUUCCACCAUCGGAUCCCUCCGCCUCGACCUCUCCGCGUCCCCGCUCGCGGACCCGGAGGCUGCAGCCUUCGCCUCCCCGCGCGGCGGCGGGCGCGUCACGGCGGGGUUCGUGAUCUGCUUCCCCAACUACUCCUCCUUCCUCUCCAAGCCCGGGCUGUACGUGGAGGACAUCUUCGUGCGCGCCCCCUGGCGCCGCCGCGGCCUCGGCCGGAUGAUGCUGUCUUCCGUCGCCGGCAGGGCGGCGGAGCUCGGGAUGGGGCGGGUGGAGUGGUGCGUGCUCGACUGGAACAAGAACGCCAUCGACUUCUACGAGGGGAUGGGCGCCGAUGUCCUCCCGCAGUGGCGCAUCUGCAGGCUCACCGGCGCGGCGCUGGACAAGUACAAGGGCAACCAAGAGGCGGCCGCCGAUGGGAAGGCUGUCGAGUAGGAGGAUCAGAAAAAUUGGUUCUUGAGUGCCAAUAAUAAAGGUGGUGGAUUUGCUUCCCCUGCUUAGCUCCCUCCUGGCAUCGUAUGGUUAGUGGUUCGGUGCAUUUGAUCUGCUCAUUAGUGUGAUGAAUCCAUGUUGUAUGCUGAGCAAUUCUGACUUGUUGUGGUAAACCUUGGUACAUUAUGCAAAAUUAUCUUCAGAUUAGAUGCAAGUCUUUAUCAUUAGCCAUUUCAGGCUGAGCAUGUCUCUUCACUGCGAUCAGAGUCUCAGAGCUGGUUGAAAUACUUGAAAUUAAUUUAUCCCUGUAUGAUGUUUGACUAGGGGAAAUUCCAUGAUCUAUUUGAAUAACUCAUCAACUGGAUAAAAGAACUUGGAAUGUUCCUGCUCGUAUUGCUCCCUCAUUUCAUAAGGCAAUCCCUACUUGUGUGUUGGCUUGUUCAGCUCUCUUCUCUCACAUAGAGAGGAGCGGGUAUGUGAAACAGACAGUAUUCUUGCAUAUAAUUGUAACGUAAAUGAAUUAUUACAAAGAAAUAUUAAAUGGAACGACUAGAAAGACCAAACAUCUGCUUCAAUGGCAAAAUAGCAGUAUGAAGAUACCGAACUUUGUAGGAAUACAAAAGUUCAGUGCAAACACCUCCUACGAGCAUUGAAUUAGUCAUAACACUGAUUUUCACGCUGAAUUCCAUAGAAUUUGAUCAAAUUCAGUUCAUCCAUAUAAAAGACAAAUCUACACUUCCAAUUAUUAAUGAGAGAAUUUGAUAUUUUUUCUUAUUCUUGGAGUUUAUAACUUUUCAUUUGUUUUAUCGAACUUUUAUAUUGAAGUGAGGUAUUAACACUUCAAGCAUCUUAUACCAACCCCUGUGCAUGCCCUGAACUAGCCAGAGGCAUUGUUCUUCAGGAAACUAAAUUCUACUUCCACUUUUUUUUUAUCAUUCCAGUCAACAUUCUGCUGCAUUAGUUAUUAUUGUAUCUUUGACCUAUGCUAUGAUUUUCCAUAUUAGAAACAAGAUUGAUAUAUUUGCUCGCGUCAACAACAUUUUUAAGGCGGCAUAGUAUUUGAAUUGGUGGAACUCAAACACAACCAGCUUUUAUUUUUUUAAAAACAACAUUUUUAUACUUUGGAAAAUUAGUCUAGUGGCAUACACAGGGGCCCUGCCUUUACCAGUCGCCCCGUCACAAAAGCAGAGGACAGGCCAACCCCCACUUCUUGACCAAGAUGGCGGCGCCGGCCAACUCCACCACCUUCUCCGGCGACAUGUGGGCGGAGCUCCGCCUGGCCGACGCCCGCGAUGUGCCGCACAUCUACAGCCUCAUCCACCAGAUGGCCGAGUUCGAGCUCCUCACCGACCUUUUCACCGCCACCGAGGAGCUCCUCACCUCCACGCUCUUCCCCUCGCCGACGCCACCUCCCUUCACCUCCUUCACGGCUCUCGUCCUCGACCUCUCCCCCUCCCCCGUGGUCCCGGACUCGUCUUCCAUCAUCGGCUCCCUCCGCCUCGAUCUCUCUGCGUUUCCGCUCGCGGACCCGGAGGCCGCCGCCUUCGCCUCCCCGCGCGGCGG